UAACGUUGGUUAGGAUCAGGUACCGGUAAGCAAAAGAGCGCUUGACCGGUUUAAAAGGGAAGUUCGGUGCAAAUCCGACGCUGUCCCGCAACUGUAAAUGGGAGCAACCUGCCAAAACCACUGUUGAAUGCUUGACAUAUCAACGGGAAGGGGCUAGGAAGCGAUGAACAUAAGCCAGGAGACCUGCCUGAUUCGGUCCACACCA
rnacentral:ncRNA from 2 species